ACCCCACCCACCCAAAUUUUUUUAUUUGAAACGGUUAAAAAACACAAAUAUUUAUUUUUAUUAUUUUAUUUUUGAAAUACCGUCCAACCAUCGCACCCAAGAAUACCCUUCCCCUUCCCCCGAUUUUUUUUUUUUUGCCUUUUUUUUCGCAUUUUUGGAAAAUAAUGUAAUAAAUGUCCACACCCCCACACUAUACACCCCUAUUCACUCCACCUCUCCCUCCUUUGUGAUUUAAAUUGAGAGUCCCGUCACCUUUAAAAAGAAAAAAGAUGAGCGGUCUGCACCCGCAAGGCGGUGCUCUUGAUUGCAUUUUGUUAUGAUGGCAUAACAUUUAAGUUUUUGUUCAUAAAUAAGAAAUUAUUGGAAAUGCAAUUGAUUCACUUUGGAGCUGAAUUGUUUGAAUCUUGUUACUCUGGAAAACAUUUACAGUUUUGGUUUGUAAAUAAAAAAUCAUUCGAUAUGCAAGCGAUUCACUUUGAGUUGACAAUUUUGCAAUUUUGUUACGCUGGCAUAACAUUUUAAGUUUGGCCUGUAAAUAAGAAUUGAUUCGAAAUGCAAGUGAUUCACUUUGGAGCUGAAAUGUUUGUAAUUUUGUUACGCUGGCAGAACAUUUUAAGUUUUGGUUGGUGAACAAGAAAUGAUUCCAAAUGCAAUUGAUUCACAUUGGCGUCUAAGUGUUUGGAAUUUUGUUACGCUGGCAUAUCAUUUUUCAAGUUUUUGUCAGUAAAUAAGAAAUCAUUUGAAACGCAAGCAUUUCACUUUGGAGUUGAAAUGUUAUGAACUUUGUUACGCUUCCAUUACAUUUUAAGUUUUGGUCAUUAAAUAAAAAAUCAUUUGAAACGCAAGCAUUUCACUUUGGAGUUGAAAAUUUUGGAAUUUUGUUACGCUGGCAUAUUUUGAGUUUUGGUCUGUAAAUAAGAAAUGAUUCGAAACUUUGGAAUUUGUUACACUGGCAUAACAUUUUAAGUUAGGCCUUUAAAUAAGAAAUGAUUCUAAAUGCAAGCAAUUCAAUUUGAGUUGAAAUGUUUGAAGUUUUGUUAUGCUGGCAUAACAUUUUUAAGUUUUGGUCUGUAAAUAAGAAAUCAUUACAUAUGCAAGCAAUGCACUUUGAGGUUGAAAUGUUCGGAAUUUUGUAACGCUGGCAUAACAUUUUUAGUUUUGGUCUGUAAAUAAGAAUUCAUUCGAUAUGCGAGGAAUUCACUUUGGAGUUGAAAUGCGAUGAAUUUUGUUACGCCUGCAUAACAUUUUUUUUGAGUUUUGGUUGGUAAAUAAGAAAUGAUUCACUUUGUAGCUAAAUUGUUUGUAUAACAUUAACAGUUUGGGUUGGUAAAUAAGAAAUUAUUCGAAAUGCAAUUGAUUCAUUUUGGAGUCAAAGUGUUUGGAAUUUUUUGUUGCUGGCAUAACAUUGCACUUUUGGUCUGUAAAUGAGAAAUGAUUCGAAAUGCAACUGAAUCACUUUGGAAUAAAAGUAUUUGGAAUUUUGUUACGCUGGCAUAACAUUAACAGUUUAGUUCUGUAAAUAAGUUAUCAUUCGGUAUGCAAGCGAUUCACUUUUAAGUUGAAAUGUUAUGAAUUUUGUUAAGCUGGCGUAACUUUUUUUUUUCAUCUUCAAUAAAUAAGCAUAUCGAAAUUAUCACAAAAACUGGAUUUUUUUAGUAGAAAAACCCUGUAAAACACCCCUAUAAAUUGGGAUUCAUGGAUAUUCCCUUUUUAAAAUAGACACAGUUAUUUGUUCUAAUUUCUACAAUUUAUUGGUUUUGAUAUUGCCGUAUUCUUAUGCAAUAUGCAUAAAAAAUAUGCCUAAAUAUUCAUAGACAGCAAGCUGAUAAACACGCAUUUUGUAAUAUACAUAUAUUUUGCCAAACAAGUUUUAUAAAAUUGCUUGCAUGGACGCACUGCUUCUUUCUAUUUCUAUGCAUUUCCAGCAUCUGGAGGGAAUUUUAAACACAGCGCGGACCUAAUUUUUAUUCCAGUUUUAUCUUGUACUUUGUUAUGUUUUGCAUGGAAGCUUUCUAAUCAGGCAAUUUUUAUCUCUACCCUCACAAAAACUAGUUAAACAUUUGUAAGGAUUGCUAAAAAUAUUUCUAGGCAGGCAUAUUUGUUUUCACUUGUAUACCCUGUAAUCCAGUCUGGACCAAGUUGAAGGUUUAGCAUGCCUACUAAAUAAUCGCUUUAAACCACUAAGGCUUUCUAAGGCUUUCUUAAAUAGUAUUUAAGUUAUGUUUAUCAUCGAAUUUUUAUGUCCCCCACUAUAGUAGUGGGGGACAUAUUGUUUUUGCCCUGUCUGUUGGUUGGUUGGUUGGUUCCCGGGUGUACUUUGUCCAGGGUUUUCCAUGGAAAUCCAUGGAAAAUAUGAGGCUGGAGUAUUCGGACUAAGUUUCCAGCCUUUCCCAGCGUCAAUAUUUAAAAAAAAGGGUGGAAAAUUGUCCAUGGUAUGUGGAAAUAGCCUGGAAUAGUUUCCAUGGUUUUCCAGGCUCCCUGGAAUAAUUACCAUGGAACAAUUUCCAGGGUUUUCCAGCCAGCAUGGAAUAAAUACCGUCCGAAUACUCCAUGUAAUCUGGAAAACCAUGGAAAACCAUGGAUUUAUUUCCAGGGUUUUCCAGAUUACAUGGAGUAUUCGGACGGUAUUUUUUGCAUGCUGGCUGGAAAACCCUGGAAAAUGUUCCAGGGUUUUUCCAUGUUUAAUAUUCCAUGGAUGCCUGGUAUAACAUGGAAAAUUGUCCAGCGUUUACUAUGGUCACUGAAAAGAAAAAAAAAUUCUGGUCUAAAAACAAUAUUCAUGUAUUAAAUGAAUACAAUACUCACAGCUUAAGAAAAUCAUAAUUUAAGGUUAGAUUUAAACAAAACAAAAAAUCAACAUAAUGCCUAAGUUUCUUCGAUGUAUUAUUUUGUUCACAAUUCAUCAAAAUAUAACAUCAGAUUACAAAUUGUGUUACAUUUAUUUAACAAAUUAUUCAGAUCAAACAAGCGUUGUUUAAUACAUGCUUACAAAGCCUCUAGGUCCAUUAUCAUAAAUCAGGCCCUUACAUAAUAGAACAGGCGCUACUUUAAAAGUUAAAAAGUAUAAUGCAACCUUCACAACAUGUAUUCAAAGUAACAAAAUACAAGCAUUAGUCAAGUAAUAUACAGUAACAAUUCACGAACCCUGUACAAACGAUAUACAAGAAACAAAAUGAAAAAUUUAUGUUGUUUUAGCUGCUUCAUGUAUGUCACAAUAUAUGUAGCUGCCCAUGAGCACAAGGAUACUAUUUUUAUGUCCCCCACUAUAGUAGUGGGGGACAUAUUGUUUUUGCCCUGUCUGUUGGUUGGUCUGUUGGUUGGUUGGUCUGUUGGUUGGUUGGUUGGUUUGCGCCAACUUUAACAUUUUGCAAUAACUUUUGCUAUAUUGAAUAUAGCAACUUGAUAUUUGGCAUGCAUGUGUAUCUCAUGGAACUGCACAUUUUGAGUGGUGAAAGGUAAAGGUCAAGGUCAUCAUUCAAGGUCAGAGGUCAAAUAUAUGUGGCCAAAAUCGCCCAUUUUAUGAAUUCUUUUGCAAUAUUGAAGAUAGCAACUUGAUAUUUGGCAUGCAUGUGUAUUUCAUGGAGCUGCACAUUUUGAGUGGUGAAAGGUCAAGGUCAAGGUCAUCCUUCAAGGUCAGAGGUCAAAUAUAUGUGGCCCAAAUCGCUUAUUUUAUGAAUACUUUUGCAAUAUGGAAGAUAGCAACUUGAUAUUUGGCAUGCAUGUGUAACUUAUGGAGCUGCAUAUUUUGAGUGGUGAAAGGUCAAGGUCAAGGUCAUCCUUCUAGGUCAAAUAUAUGGGUCAAAAUUGCUCAUGUAAUGUAACUUCUGCAAUAUUGAAGCUAGCAAUUUUAUAUUUGACAUGCAUGUGUAUCUCAUGGAGCUGCACAUUUUGAGUUAUGAAGGGUCAAGGUCAUCCUUCAAGGUCAAACGUCAUAUAGGGGGACAUUGUGUUUCACAAACACAUCUUGUUCUCAGCUACUUUCACUUUAAUGCAAUUUAGGUGCUUAAUUUCAUUAAAAUACUUUUAUAUAAUUUUAUUGUUCAAAGAAAUUCAGAACAAUGCAUGUACAUGUAUUACUUUCCAAGUGACAAUUUAAAAUAUAAUUGCAAGUCUAAAACUUGUGUAGGCAGCUUAGUAAAUUAUAAGUACCCAGGUGGAAUAAAAUUACAGUUUUUAAAAACUUUUUUGUUAAUUAGCUGGGCUUCAGUAGGUCGUGGAUCUUUUAUAGAACUUGUACUGCUGUUAUACUGUACGGCUCCUGCAUGAUCUCUGAAAGAAAAACAAAGCAAACAAUAUUACAAGAAAGUCAUAAGUUUUUUACAUUCACCUGUAAAAGUAAAUGUGCAGCAAUCAUAUGAUUGAAUAUCUAUACUUCAAUGCUCAUUCAUAUUUUAAUCUAUUUUAGAUAUUUCAUAUCACUGCUCAAUUCGGUACAUCUGGCUUUUUUGUAUUUGAGCGAACAUUUACGAUCCUAAGUAGUUAGCAAUUAUUUCUUUUCCAUUAACAUUUAUUCUCUUAAAGUUUGCAAGCGGGCUUUAAUCUACUUGCAAACAGGCAACCGCACAGGAAAACUGAGACUUUAAAGUGAAUAAAUUGGUGAUUUAACUUAUGUUUUUAUAUGACUCUCUUUUAUUUUGAAAUUUAUAUUGUUGUUUUCUUAAAUGCCCCAAAACGGGGUACACUAGCAUGUAUCUGGAAACUCAAACAUAUAUAGGAAUUUUAUAUUCAGAUAUUGCUAUAUGAAAGUUAUGCUAAUUUGCUAAUUCAUAUAAAAAUAACCUGUAAUUGAAACUAGACCAAAAUAUUGGAUACCAAAAAGACAAAAUACUUUCAGGUGGUUAACAAUAAAAUUACUUAUAUGAGCCCGGGGCAUAACAAUAUUUACCAUGAAUUUGUGGCCAUGUUAGUCCUCUUGGUAAAUGUGCCAAAAGAGCCGCUUUGCUGUCUUGGGUUAUUUCCCUGCCAAACUCUGCAGUAUCUUCCAUCAACUGGUCAGCUACAGUUAAAGCACAUAAUGAAAAUGUAUAUAGAAAAUAAUUCAAGUAUUUUUUAAGUAUUUAGUAAAAUGGUCUUUAAAUAAUAACUUACAAUGAAGUUAAUACAUCACAAAGCAUAGCAUAACAAAAUUUGUUGGUAUGAUUAGUACAAAUUUAUUAUUGCUAUAAUUUGAAUGAUGUGUAAUUCUAUUGGUAUGAAAAUGCACAGUGAAACCUAAAAAACAAUGCUAUUGGUUUAAUAAAUUUAUUUAUAAACAUUAACAGCAUAAAUGAGCAUUGAGUUCUUCUCAUCAUGCACAGCACAUAACUCCCUUAGCCUCAGUUGCCUAGCCAUGCAUUAUAAACUUCCGAUACUACAUUCAAGCUUAUUAAUAUCUCCACAUAGGACUUCCUUUAUCAAGCUGCAAACUGCACUUAGGGAAAUUGUGUGUGACAGCUGCUUUUAAACUUCUAUAUUUGCCAUACUUUUACCUAAAAUGUCACAUAAAAAGGUCUACAAUGAUGACAUAAGAUGAAUAAAUUUAAAGGAAUAUUUAGAAAUAAUGAAAAGCACAAACCUUCAGUUGUUGUUCUAUUCCUAGACAGACUUCUGAAACACUUGUAUGCAUCACUUUUUAACAACAUUUCAUGUCACUUUCCAAAUGAUACCCAUACAUUAUUAUUUUAAGAAAUUCUUGUUAAUGGAAAAACUCAUUAACUCUACUGUUUGUGAAAUUACAUUAACUUCAUUUUAACAACAAGUUUAACCUGCAUAUUUUCUACAAAACGCCUACUCCAGAAUUUCAAUCUAACAGGUAAACUUUCUGUAUUUGAACUCAGCCAAUCAGAAAAGGCUGUGAUAUUUUAUAACUAAUAGAUUAGCCGCAGACAUAUCUGACUCACACACAGGCUUCGCAGAUAGUUUGUUAAUUGCAAACCUGGACUGUAGUUAAAUAUUGAGUGAGUAUACACCUUGAACAGGGUUAAGGAAUUUAAACUUGUAGACAUUGCUUUGAAAGUUUCUACUAUUACUUCUACUACUAGUACUACUACUACUACUACUACUUCUGCAAAACUACUACUACUAUUACAACAGCCACAACAUCAACAACAACAACUACUACUACUACUACUACUGCUACUUCUACUUCUACUACUACUACUACUACUACUACUACUACUACUACUACUACUACUACUACUACUACUACUACUACUACUGCUGCUGCUACUACUGCUACUACUACUACUACUGCUUCAACUACUACUAAUGCUUCAACUACUACUACUUCUACUGCUACUGCUGCUGCUACUGCUGCUGCUGCUACUACUGCUGCUGCUGCUGCUACUACUGCUACUGCUGCUGCUACUACUACAACUCCUGCUGCAGUGACUACUACUACUACUGCUGCUGCUGUUACUACUACUACUACUACUACUACCACUACUACUACUACUACUACUACUAGUACUUCAACUACUACUGCUACUACUACUGCUACUACUACUGCUACUGAUGCUGCUGAUGCUGCUACUGCUACUACUGCUGCUGCUGCUACUUCUACUACUACUACUUCUACUACUACUACUUCUACUACUACUACUGCUGCUGCUGCUAAUGCUACUUCCUUAACUACUACUACUACUGCUGCUACUAGUAUUCUUAUUAUUAUUUAUACUACUAUUGCUACCAUUACAGCUACUAUUCCUGUAAAUGCUAAAACAACAACACAAUAAUAACUGCUACUACUGCUACUGUCACUUAAAUUUGCACCAAUAGUAUAAUUAUCGGUAGUUUAACUGCUUGUACAACUUAUACAACAACCACUUUUACUUCUACUCCUACAACAUAUUCUACUGCCAGCACCAGCAUUACUACUUCUACUACUACUACUACUACUACUACUAUAGCUACUACUAUUUCUGCCCAAACUAUGCACAUUGUUUUAUGUUUUAUUCAUAUGUUGUGUAAAUUGUUGAACUCUGAUUUACUUUGAAAAAAUGUGUUGCAUUUUUAUAAGUUAUUUUCUCCUCUUAUAAAGUCUAAGUUUUUUCCAGGGUCAGCUGAAAAUGUUAAAGUCUUUUCCAUGCUUAAAAAAUUCUAUGUUCCACUUUCCAUGCUAUCUGGAAAUAUUUUCCAUGGUUAUCCAGCCUAAAUCCAGCGUUUUCCAUUCCUUUUCCAUGCUUUUCCAUCCAAGGCUGGAAAAUGCUUGGAAAAAAAGUCCACGUUUCAUGGACAUUUCUAGAACAAAACCCUGGAAAACCCUGGAAACUGUUUCAAAUUCCAGGGAUUUCCAUGGAAUUCCAUGUUAUACCAUGGAUUUCCAGCCUAAGUUCCAUGAUUACCCUGGACAAUGUACACCCGGGUUGUUCUGUCUGUCUGUUUGCGCCAACUUUAACAUUUUGCAAUAACUUUUGCUAUAUUGAAGAUAGCAACUUCAUAUUUGGCAUGCAUGUGUAUCUCAUGAAGCUGCACAUUUUGAGUGCUGAAAGGUGAAGGUCAAGGUCAUCCUUCAAGGUCAGAGGUCAAAUAUAGGUGGCCAAAAUCGCUCAUUUUAUGAAUACUUUUGCAAUAUUGAAGAUAGCAACUUGAUAUUUGGCAUGCAUGAGUAUCUCAUGGAGCUGCAUAUUUUGAGUGGUGAAAGGUCAAGGUCAUCCUUCAAGGUCAGAGGUCAAAUAUAUGUGGCCCAAAUCGCUUAUUUUAUGAAUACUUUUGCAAUAUGGAAGAUAGCAACUUGAUAUUUGGCAUGCAUGUGUAUCUCAUGGAGCUGCACAUUUUGAGAGGUGACAGGUCAAGGUCAAUGUCAUCCUUCAAGGUCAGAGGUCAAAUAUAUGUGGCCCAAAUCGCUUAUUUUAUGAAUACUUUUGCAAUAUUGAAGAUAGCAACUUGAUAUUUGGCAUGCAUGUGUAUCUCAUGGAGCUGCACAUUUUGAGUGGUGAAAGGUCAAGGUCAAGGUCAUCCUUUAAGGUCAAGUAUAUGGGUAAAAAUUGCGCAUGUAAUGUCACUUCUGCAAUAUUGAAGCUAGCAAUUUUAUAUUUGGCAUGCAUGUGUAUCUCAUGGAGCUGCACAUUUUGAGUGGUGAAGGGUCAAGCUCAAGGUCAUCCUACAAGGUCAAACAGCAUAUAGGGGGACAUUGUGUUUCUCAAACACAUCUUGUUAGUAAUGCGUUUAAGUAUUUUAGGAUAGAAAUGUAAUGUUUUAAAAUAAUUUCUGAACAUUUUGUUUUAAAAUAAUUUUUGAACACGUUUGUUAAAAAUAUUCCAAAACGUUGUGAUAUCUUAUGUUUCCGUUUUCCUAAAUAAUUAUGUAAAUUGGUUGGUUUGAGCAUAAAAUACACGUAUUUUUCGAACGUAAACAAGGCUUUAACUUAAAACAGCAUUAAGUCUAAGUACCUGGAAGCUUAUUUUUUUGUCGUCGGAUAAUUUAAGUUCAAUUCAUAUAAAGAAAUUAGUCUAUAACAAUGAUUUAGUUAACAUAAACGUUCAUACCGCAAAAGCACAUCACCAACUGUUGUUAAAACUGUUGUAAACUUAAAAAUCCAACUGCUUUGUUGAAAUAGUUUAUUAAUGUUUCGUCAUAUUUAUACUGAAAUAACUUGGCAUAAAAAUAAAUCCUUAUCUUAAACAAAUGCUUUCUUUUAAAAUCACAUGUGCAAACACAUAUGUUGAGAAAAUGGCAUUGUCAACAAUCUAGUUCAUAAUUAGAUCUGAUAAUUAAUAUUUAGACAGAUAGCUUAACUAUAAUGUAUUUUCAUAAAAAUUUCCAGAAUAAGGUUGCAUUUACCUAAAUGUGCAAUGUUAUGUUUAGUUUUAUUCAUUCGGACUUGCUGAAAGAAAAAAAGUAUCAAUAAAAAGUUUUGUGUUUUCAUUUAAUUAUAAUAAGGACUUGUUGCAGCAAGAUGAUCGAAGUUUUAGCUUUUGAUAAUUUCUUUUAUGCAUUUAUUUUGUUAACCAGGUUUUCCGAAGGAAACAACUGGUUAUUAGAUUGGCGAUGUCGGCGGGCGGGCAGGCUGGUGGGCGGAACAAGCUUGUCCGGGCCAUAAAUUUGUCGUUCAUUGUCAGAUUUUAAAACCAUUUGGAACAUGUGUUCACCAUCAUAAGACGGUGUGUCGCGCGAAAGAAUUACGUUGAUAUCUCCAAGGUCAAGGUCACAAUUUGAGUUUGAAGGUCAAAAUGGCCAUAAAUGAGCUUAUCCGGGCCAUAACUUUGUCGUUCAUUGUCGGAUUUAAAAAUCGUUUGGCACAUUUGUUCACCAUCAUUAGACGGUGUGUAGCGCGAAAGAAUAACGUCGAUAUCUCCAAGAUCAAGGUCACAAUUUGAGUUUGAAGGUCAAAAAUGGCCAUAAAUGAGCUUGUCUGGGCCAUUACUAUGUCAUUCGUUGUGAGAUUUUAAAAUCAUUUUGCACAUUUGUUCACCAUUAUUGGACGGUGUGUCAUGCGAAAGAAUAACGUCAAUAUCUCCAAGGUCAAGGUCGCCACAACUAAAAAUAGAUUGAUUUUGAAACAACUAUGUAACAAUGCACAUUUUGAUUUUGAGUUUUCUCUCUUUAUCAGACUUUUUUUUCAAUUUUUUUUUAUAUCAAUCAUUUUUUUCAAUUAUAUUGAUCAAUAAAAAAAUAGAUUGAAAUAUUCUCCAAUUUUACUGUUGAACAGUUAUUGACAAAAAACUAUCGUGUCUACAUGUACACAUAUCAUAUCACAGAUAUACUUUGUUCAAGAAUUAAAGAGAUAGAGAAAAUGUACUUAAAACCAACUAUUUGCGAUACUUAUGAUAUUAAAUGCAGCUUGUAUUUGAGAAUAAAUUUCACAAUUAAAAUGCAUUUUAGUUUUGCAUUGGUUGUAAAUAAAGAGUAGACGCGUAGAGGAAUUGUUUACAAUAUAAAGAAGUGAAACUCCAGCUGCUGGAGCAGUAUUGAAUUUUCAUUAAAACAAUUAGUUGGUCCUUUAUUUAAGGCAAGUGACCGAUUGCCCAAACAGUACAAAACAGCACAAUACAGCACAAUACAAACCAACAUAAACACAAAAUAUGAAUAAAGCUGGGGUCACCGCCUUGGAACGGUCAAUGCAAAGCAUUGGGGGUUUAAACCUGGUUAUAGAGCGCUCAACCUCACACUUGGCCCAGCAAUAUUCAUAAUACAUUUAAGUGUAAAUAAAAUUUAACGUCAUAGCAUUGUAACUCAAAUUAAACAAUAAUAAAAGGGAAUUAAAACGCAUUCAAUUUAAUUACUAUUUAAUUACUCAAUUGCAUUGAAGAUACAAGAGUAACAGAAUUACAACUUUUUGACGAACGAUCAAAUAAAACUAUUAACAAUUGUCAACUACAUUCCUUCUUUAUAGAAAAGAUUUGAGAAUAUAGAAUCAUAUAGUUAAUAUCUCAGAUAAAAACAACACUUACAAAUGUGAAUAAUUAACAAAAAUUAACUCUUAAAGGAAGUAUGAAAUUUCAUUUUAAAUCAUAAAUACAGAUUGUAUACAAAAGUCAUGUAGGCCUACAUGGAUGAUAUGUGAAAUACAGUAUUAUGUGAAAGUCAGAAAUACCAUUAUUCUAAAUACAGACGUAGGUCAUGUAUGAUAUGUCAUGCAGUAUUACUUGAAAAUCAGAGUAUCAUUGUUCUUAAUAACUUUGAAUGGAAAAACAGUGAAAACGUAUUUUAAUAAUAGAGUACACUAAGUCUGUUCUACCGCCUGUCUGCUCAGCACUCGUCCUCUUUUAAAGAUUUUACACCUAAUAAUCGAACUAUAAAGCGCAAGUUAAGUAUGUACGCUUGUUUGUAUGAAGUACUUUUAUUAUUUGAACUACACCUUCCCAGAAUAGUUUAGUUCCUUUGGGUCUCAGGUGAGCGCCUUAGGGCCCAUGGUCCUCUUGUUUUUUACAUGUCUAUACCCUGUUAUUCAGGCAGGACCAUGCUUUAUGUUCAGUAUGUAUAUUACUUUUCCUCAAUGUAUUUUCCUAUUAUAUAAGAAAAAAAACUCUAGUUGCUCCAGCGUUUAUUUAGGACAGAAAUGUAACUUUUAAAGUACAUGCAAUUUCUAAUCAUAUACGUUAACAAAGUUCCAAAACUUGUGAUGUAUCUACUAUAUUUUAUUAACGUUUUCGUGAAUGUAAAAUUAUGAACCAUGAUUUCAGCUUAGAAUACAAGUAUUUGUCACAUGAAAAGGAGCCUGUACCAUGGGUAUGCCCUUAAAUCAGCAUUAAGUCCAAGUACCUGAAAGCUUUUAUUUUUUUCGUCGGAUAAUUUAAGUUUAAUUAAUAUAAAUAACUAUAAGCACAUCCCCAUUUAAACAGAUGUGAAAUUUAAAAGCCAUCUGCCAAGUAAAACUAGUUUAAUAUCUUUUAAUGUUUAGUCAUAUUAAUACUGAAAUAACAUUGCAUAAAAUAAAAUCAUUUUCUUAAACAAAUGCUUUCUCUCAUAAUCACAUUUGUAAUUACAGAUGUUGGGAAAAAAAAUUGUCAACAAUCUAUUUUAUAAUUAGAUCUUAUUAUUCAUUCUUAGACAGAUAGCUUUAUUAUUAUGUAUUUGUAUAUACAUGUCCAGAAUUAGGUUGCAUUUUCCACAGUGUUCAAUGUUAUGUUUUGUUUAAUUCAUUCGGACUUGCUGGAAGAAAAAAAAGUAUAAAUAUAAAGUUUU